AUCGUUAACUGAAUACAUAGGUUAACGAAGCGAACCGGGGGAACUGAAACAUCUAAGUACCCCGAGGAACAGAAAUCAACCGAGAUUCCCCCAGUAGCGGCGAGCGAACGGGGAGCAGCCCAGAGUCUGAAUCAGCUUGUGUGUUCGUGGAACGGUCUGGAAAGUCCGACGGUACAGGGUGAUAGUCCCGUACACCGAAAUGCACAGGUUGUGAACUCGAAGAGUAGGGCGGGACACGUGG
rnacentral:rRNA from 1 species